AUGUGGAUAACAAGCCCGUACCCGAACCAUUGCCUGGAGCAGAGGAAUUCCUCAUCGGCUCGGACCUGCUCAAAUGAACCAAUCACUAGAGCACAGGAGAGGGAAUUACCAACCCUGGAAAACCACUUUCUAUCCAUAAACUGCACAAAUGAGCCAUUGGAAGAGUUUUAUUUCCUGACAUCAAGUUCCUUAACGACAGAAAAGAGGAGCAGCAGGUGUUUCUCACCAGAUGCCUUUGUGACGGAAACAGACAGAGUUCACUGGGUAUCAAAUCAAAGCUUUGAUUACGUUGGAAAUAUCCCCAAAAUUGGAGUUGAACUGAGCUGGGUCCAAAAUUCAGUUCUGCCUCUUCUUCAAUAUGUUUCUGCAUAA
rnacentral:lncRNA from 1 species